rnacentral:rRNA from 1 species
UCUGGUUGAUCCCGCCGGAGGCCACUGCUAUCGGGGUCCGAUUAAGCCAUGCGAGUCGAGAGGGGUAAAGCCCUCGGCGAACGGCUCAGUAACACGUGGAUAACCUACCCUCAGAUCUGGGAUAACUCCGGGAAACUGGAGAUAAUACCGGAUAAUCCGUGAACGCUGGAAUGCCUUACGGUUGAAAGCUUUAGCGUCUGAGGAUGGGUCUGCGGCCGAUUAGGUAGUUGCUGGGGUAACGUCCCAACAAGCCGAUAAUCGGUACGAGUUGUGAGAGCAAGAGCCCGGAGAUGGAUUCUGAGACACGAAUCCAGGUCCUACGGGGCGCAGCAGGCGCGAAAACUUUACACUGCGCGAAAGCGCGAUAAGGGGACCUCUAGUGCGUGCGCAAUGCGUACGCUUUUCAGAUGCCUAAAAAGCAUCUGGAAUAAGGGCCGGGCAAGACCGGUGCCAGCCGCCGCGGUAACACCGGCGGCUCAAGUGGUGGCCGCUAUUAUUGGGCUUAAAGGGUCCGUAGCCGGACCAGUUAGUCCCUUGGGAAAUCUUACGGCUUAACCGUAAGGCUGCCAAUGGAUACUGCUGGGUCUUGGGACCGGGGAGAGGCAAGAGGUUACCUCAGGGGUAGGAGUGAAAUCCUGUUAUCCCUUG